UACAGAGACUGCAAGCGUUAUUCGGAUUCACUGGGCGUAAAGGGCGCGUAGGCGGCCGAUCAAGUCAGGCGUGAAAUUCCCGGGCUCAACCUGGGGGCUGCGCUUGAUACUGAUUGGCUUGAAUGCGGGAGAGGAUAGUGGAAUUCCCAGUGUAGAGGUGAAAUUCGUAGAUAUUGGGAAGAACACCGGUGGCGAAGGCGGCUAUCUGGCCCGUAAUUGACGCUGAGGCGCGAAAGCGUGGGGAGCAAACAGG
rnacentral:rRNA from 1 species